rnacentral:rRNA from 1 species
AGUGGCGGACGGGUGAGUAACGCGUGGGUAACCUGCCUCAUACAGGGGGAUAAUAGUUAGAAAUGACUGCUAAAACCGCAUAAGCGCACAAAACCGCAUGGUUUGGUGUGAAAAACUCCGGUGGUAUGAGAUGGACCCGCGUCUGAUUAGCUAGUUGGAGAGGUAACGGCUCACCAAGGCGACGAUCAGUAGCCGACCUGAGAGGGUGACCGGCCACAUUGGGACUGAGACACGGCCCAAACUCCUACGGAAGGCAGCAG